AGGGAGUUUGAUCCUGGCUCAGGACGAACGCUGGCGGCGUGCCUAACACAUGCAAGUCGAGCGGAGACAUGCGACGGAUGCGAAGUUUUCGGACGGAGUUGAAGAUGUAUGUUUUAGCGGCGGACGGGUGAGUAACGCGUGAACAAUCUGUCCUUCACAGGGGGAUAACACAGCGAAAGUUGUACUAAUACCGCAUAAGACCACGGUGCCGCAUGGUACAGGGGUCAAAGGAGCAAUCCGGUGAAGGGUGAGUUCGCGUCCGAUUAGAUAGUUGGUGAGGUAACGGCCCACCAAGUCGACGAUCGGUAGCCGACCUGAGAGGGUGAUCGGCCACAUUGGGACUGAGACACGGCCCAAACUCCUACGGGAGGCAGCAGUGGGGAAUAUUGGGCAAUGGGGGAAACCCUGACCCAGCAACGCCGCGUGAGGGAAGAAGGUUUUCGGAUCGUAAACCUCUGUCCUAGGUGAAGAGAAAGAGACGGUAGCCUAGGAGGAAGCCCCGGCUAACUACGUGCCAGCAGCCGCGGUAAUACGUAGGGGGCGAGCGUUGUCCGGAAUGAUUGGGCGUAAAGGGCGCGUAGGCGGCCCGGUAAGUCUGGAGUGAAAGUCCUGCUUUUAAGGUGGGAAUUGCUUUGGAUACUGUCGGGCUUGAGUGCAGGAGAGGUAAGUGGAAUUCCCAGUGUAGCGGUGAAAUGCGUAGAGAUUGGGAGGAACACCAGUGGCGAAGGCGACUUACUGGACUGUAACUGACGCUGAGGCGCGAAAGUGUGGGGAGCAAACAGGAUUAGAUACCCUGGUAGUCCCCU
rnacentral:rRNA from 1 species